rnacentral:rRNA from 1 species
AUUGAACGCUGGCGGCAGGCCUAACACAUGCAAGUCGAGCGGAUGAAGGGAGCUUGCUCCUGGAUUCAGCGGCGGACGGGUGAGUAAUGCCUAGGAAUCUGCCUGGUAGUGGGGGAUAACGUCCGGAAACGGGCACUAAUACCGCAUACGUCCUGAGGGAGAAAGGGGGGGAUCUUCGGACCCCACGCUAUCAGAUGAGCCUAGGUCGGAUUAGCUAGUUGGUGGGGUAAAGGCCUACCAAGGCGACGAUCCGUAACUGGUCUGAGAGGAUGAUCAGUCACACUGGAACUGAGACACGGUCCAGACUCCUACGGGAGGCAGCAGUGGGGAAUAUUGGACAAUGGGCGAAAGCCUGAUCCAGCCAUGCCGCGUGUGUGAAGAAGGUCUUCGGAUUGUAAAGCACUUUAAGUUGGGAGGAAGGGCAGUAAGUUAAUACCUUGCUGUUUUGACGUUACCAACAGAAUAAGCACCGGCUAACUUCGUG